AGUGAACGCUGGCGGUAGGCCUAACACAUGCAAGUCGAACGGCAGCACAGUAAGAGCUUGCUCUUACGGGUGGCGAGUGGCGGACGGGUGAGGAAUACAUCGGAAUCUACUUUUUCGUGGGGGAUAACGUAGGGAAACUUACGCUAAUACCGCAUACGACCUACGGGUGAAAGCAGGGGAUCUUAGGCCCUUGCGCGAUUGAAUGAGCCGAUGUCGGAUUAGCUAGUUGGCGGGGUAAAGGCCCACCAAGGCGACGAUCCGUAGCUGGUCUGAGAGGAUGAUCAGCCACACUGGAACUGAGACACGGUCCAGACUCCUACGGGAGGCAGCAGUGGGGAAUAUUGGACAAUGGGCGCAAGCCUGAUCCAGCCAUGCCGCGUGUGUGAAGAAGGCCUUCGGGUUGUAAAGCCCUUUUGUUGGGAAAGAAAAGCAGCAGGUUAAUACCCCGCUGUUCUGACGGUACCCAAAGAAUAAGCACCGGCUAACUUCGUG
rnacentral:rRNA from 1 species